UAAUAGCACGAAUUACAGACUUUAUUUAUAACACCGGACAUGCCUACCUAGCCUGAGCAUAUUCACCCAUGGGACUCUGUGCCUUCUGGGGGGAUCUUCA